UGGGGAAUCUUGGACAAUGGGGGCAACCCUGAUCCAGCCAUGCCGCGUGAGUGAUGAAGGCCUUAGGGUCGUAAAGCUCUUUCGCCUGUGAAGAUAAUGACGGUAGCAGGUAAAGAAACCCCGGCUAACUCCGUGCCAGCAGCCGCGGUAAUACGGAGGGGGUUAGCGUUGUUCGGAAUUACUGGGCGUAAAGCGCACGUAGGCGGACCAGAAAGUUGGGGGUGAAAUCCCGGGGGCUCAACCCCGGAACUGCCUCCAAAACUAUUGGUCUAGAGUUCGAGAGAGGUGAGUGGAAUUCCAAGUGUAGAGGUGAAAUUCGUAGAUAUUUGGAGGAACACCAGUGGCGAAGGCGGCUCACUGGCUCGAUACUGACGCUGAGGUGCGAAAGUGUGGGGAGCAAAACAGGAUUAGAUACCCUGGGUAGUCCACACCGUAAAACGAUGAAUGCCAGUCGUCGGGGUAGCAUGCUAUUCGGUGACACACCUAACGGAUUAAGCAUUCC
rnacentral:rRNA from 1 species